UACGUAGGGUGCAAGCGUUGUCCGGAAUUAUUGGGCGUAAAGAGCUUGUAGGCGGUUUGUCGCGUCUGCUGUGAAAUUUCGGGGCUCAACCCCGAACUUGCAGUGGGUACGGGCAGACUAGAGUGUGGUAGGGGAGACUGGAAUUCCUGGUGUAGCGGUGAAAUGUGUAGAGAUCGGGAGGAACACCGGUGGCGAAGGCGGCUACCUGGCCCACUCUUGACGCUGAACCGCGAAAGCCUGGGGAGCGAACGGG
rnacentral:rRNA from 1 species